UGUGCCCUUACUUGUAAGCCAGGGCCUGGUGCUGCCUGGUGCUGGUUCUGUAGGCCUUGCUCCCUGAGCUUCUGAAGACUAAAGUUGAGCUUGCCACUGACGGAUGGGACCUCGUACCCUGGGAGGGAGGUUAACUUGGAAAGACCUUGUUAACCUCUCAUGACCAAGCACAAGUAAUGUUCUAGGGUGGGGAUUGUGAUGUCAGACUGCUAAGCUUCCGUGGGUUUCCAUCCUCUGUUCCACUCCACGACCACCAGGUGGUGCAAAAGGACUCCCCUUGGCCAGCUGCGGGACUGGAAGCAAGAAGUGUAGUCGGCUCUCUAGGACUCUGAAGGGUGGAUCCUUGAUUAUGUUGGAGGUUUUCCCCUCCAUUUACUUGAUUUUUUUUUUUUCUUCCAGUUUUACUCCUGUGUGACCUAGGUGUCUUCCUCAAGGGGAGACAUCACUGAGGGGGGAGCACAGGAGGGCCAGGGGCAUGCUUGGCACGAUGAGCCUGAGCACCUCGCUGCACUCCUGACUCCCAAGCCGGGGCCUGUGUGUAAGGGGGGGGGUGGCUUGUUCAGUGUUGCGACACCUUGUGCUAUCCUGGUGACCUCGGGCACAGUGAGUUAGUCUUAGGUGAGAAGCUUUUAUUUUCAACUUCAAUAGUAAAUAAGGCCAUCUAUGGAGUACAUGGGAACUCUGCAUAACUCCAGGGUUGUUUUUUUUUUUUUUUUUUUGCAGUUAGACCUACUUACAUGCAAAGUUAAGAAAAUUGGAGCUUAGUUUAAGAGCUACAGUUCUAAAAUAGUGUGGCAAAGGCAAAGUAAACAAAGCAGUAAGGCAGGAAUGUGGUGCCACAAGAUCUUCUGUGCAAGCAGUCUAACCAAUAGAGAAGCAACUACUGCCUCUUCACUCGGUUCCAAGUCCUUGGCUUCUGUCUCUAAGGUAUAGAGAUGCACUAGCAAGUCCUGAGUUCAAGACUAAUGACUGUCGGCCGGCGCCACAGCUCACUAGGCUAAUCCUACGCCUGCGACACAGGCACCCCAGAUUUUAGUCCCGGUCGGGGCACUGGAUUCUGUCCCAGUUGCUCCUCUUCAAAUCCAGCUCUCUGCUGUGGCCUGGGAGGGCAGUGGAGGAUGGCCCAGGUCCUUGGGCCCUGCACCUGCAUGGGAGACCAGGAGGAAACUCCUGGCUUCAGAUCAGCACAGCACACCAGCUAUAUAGCGGCCACUUGGGGGGUGAACCAACAGAAAAAGGAAGACCUUUCUGUAACUCUACCUGUCCAAAAACUGCUGUCUAGACAGUCAUUAGUUACCCUUAACUCACCUGAGCAACGUGAAGCUAUUACUGAAACAUCUGUAGAUGCAAAGCUCUGGCUAAUCUGGCUCAUGGUCCACACAAGUUUCCACUUUGUCCUGCACAACGCUGGUGAUGAAAGGAUUGUCUCCUGUGUUCCUUCUGUCUCCUGGACUGGAGAAAGGUUCUGUAUCUACACGGCUUUGUCCCCUGUGGACACAGUGCUCUGGGUCCUGCUGGCUAAGGCUGCUUGGUGCUCUUCCCUCUGCACCUGGACUUGGCUCAGGAAGGUAGUUUCAGCCACGGGCCUCUGCUGCCACCAGACAUGAGAAUCUAGGCCUCUGUGAUGUCAUUAACGUCUACUUGGUCAACAUGAAAACUUGCCCUUCCCUUCAGAGAAGUAACGGGGUCGAUAGUCUACUAGGGCAAUCCCUGAGAGCUUAUGCUAACUCAGUCGCCUGCUUUCGCAUGGCACCCACUAGAGAAUUGGAUGAUGGCUACAGGAAGCCAAGUAUGUUUGGGUUUGCUGUAUGAACUUAACUGCCCCAGAGUCCCGAGUCACCCGGGACCCUGCUGGUGCUGUGAAGCUCUUUUGCGGGUGAUUCCUAGCUAACUGUACGUUUCAACGAAGCUCGGGCAUGUGCAAGAAUGACCCUGACCAAGGAUGAACGUCGGCCUUAAGGAGCGAGUGCUUCUGGGCCAUUGUGAGGACUGACAGCCGUUGGUGGUCCCUGCGUGUGGAGGGCACCCGUGUGGGGAUGUCGCGUACCUCCAGCGUUCUGCAAGGAUUCCUCAUCUCGAACUGCUUGACUGCAUAAUGUAAUUGAUAUCCACACAGGAAAGAUGUGUAAACCAUGUGCUUUCCCUUUCUUAAACGUACUGGACCAUCAACAUGUGCUCAGCUUUAUGCUAUGGGUACUUGUCUUAAGUAGAAUGGCUUUUUUCUUUGUGCCCAUGAAGGGAGGACCCUGAAGGUGAAGAGUGGCGCAGCAUCGUGUGGAGCCCCCUAGGAUGUCCUGCACUGCACAUCCCUUCUCGUCUUCAGUGGCCCCACUCCAGCCCCAGUCGGGCUCAUCUGUAUUAAAGUCCUUGGGCUAGACCAUUUUGGGGAGCCUCUACAUCCCAGGUAGUAUGAAGACUGUGUCUUGAGCACUGACUACUGAAGUCGCCAUAGUGAUCAAAGAACGUGGUGAGCAUGAGCGUAUCUGGACACUCUGGCUCUAGCAGCAGGCUGGGGUGGUAUCUAGGUUGAGGGGACUUGGGAAAGGCCCCUCAUGUACUGGGCUGGCCAGCUCGGUGACCUGGGUGAUGAGGGCUGAGAGCAGGCUCUUGGCACCAGCAGCGAGUGGCUAACACCUCUGAUGGGUAAACCGUCUAGGGUGAGUACACGAAGCAAUGGAGCCUGUCAGAUGAGGCCUGUACCCUUCUAGGCUCUUGGGAAACUUGCACGUGAGGCAGUGCUCGGGCCAAGGCUGUGACUGGUCCUAGAACAGUAGGUGAUCAAUGUCCCCUACAGGGUCUUGAUGUUCCAAAUGUGCCUAGGAUCUGGUUCAGGAAUGACUGGUCCACAUUUCCAUACCUGAAGCAUAAAGGUUGUGGUUAGUGGCUGAGCAUCUUGUGGGAUGACUUGGUGGCAUUUGCCCCAAGGUAUUGUCAGUGCAUUGUUCAGUGUUUCCGGUCAUGUGUCUUGUCACCUUUAGAAAAUUAGUGGCUUGCAAGGGCUAAGAGCAUUAGCAUGUGGUUCUUGGUAGUUUUCUUGGUUCAUCCAGUACUAGGGGAGGAAGCUGCUGCUCCUUAAGGACUAGGCACAUCUCCUAGUGGGCUUGCUGUAUGCCAAUGUCUACCUCCUGUUCCUAAUAUGACAGAUAACACUAGGAGCCAGAGUUUUAUCUGGACAUCAUGGCCCGCUGUCCCCUACUGAAUAGCUCCCUUCCAUGGGCUUGGUUCCUCAAAUGUCUGAGGCUUGCUGGGGAUGAAACUGAGAACUCCACCCAGUCUCCCCUGUGGCCGUCAGGAGUCUGGUUACUUCCGGUUUGUGUUCUGCACUAGUGUGUAUGACUUUGGUUGCCAGAGACAUCACCUGUGCCCCUGUGCAUUCUGGAAUGUUCUCCAAGUAUUUGGAAGCUGCUUGUUGAGAGCUGGGUCAAGAAUCCCACCCUCAGUGACCCUUGGCCUGGGUGCAUCUUCACCCUGGCAGUGUUGAGCUUUGUAAAAUGUUCAUCUAAGACUUUGUUCAAGAUGUUGGUAGCAUCUCAAUAUUUUGCCACAGGAAAGUGUCCAGACAGUCAUAACUCAUGGAAGGCAGGUGGACAAUGUGACUCCUGGUUGAGGACCAGGAUCAGUGAUCCUUGAAUACCAGAGUGUACCUUGGAAUUUCUCCGUGGACCUUCCAGGGUGGGUGCUGGUGCAUUUUCUCCAUAAUGGGAUAACUUGGAAUGGGCAAGUCUCCCAUGGAAGCUAACUCUAUUUGCCAGAUCUAAGCCCUAGUCCAGAGUCGGGAUUAGUUACUUGUUCUCUGCUCUGAAUCUGAGGAAUUUUGACCAUGGGAUCUCCUAGUUGGUUGUCAUGUCUUCACUAUGUGUAUCUGGACUUCACACUCAGAAACUGAAUCCUGAAUGCCCUUCAUGACCUCAUGUACACGGUAGUCCUAUCCAGAUUAGGACGUUGAAUGGAGUGGAGUGUUUGGAUGCCUACUCGGACUGAAUCUGUGGUUGAUGUAAAUGCUACCUGACCUGUUUUCUUGGAGCCCAAAUUGGUACUUGAGGACUGACACCUAGAGGUUGAAGUUGUGCUAUCUAAAGAUAAUCAGGUUUUAUAGGUAGCUCUAUUGACAUGUUUAAAAUAACACACAACCACUUCAGAUAUACUUAGUGAUAAAUAGUUGAACAUCUCUGACCUUGCUGACUGCAAUACAAAAUAGAAAAUACCUAUAAAUGAAACGCAACAAUGCCUUAAUACCUUCAGAAUUAAUCCUUCCAAGCCUUGAGUGGGAAGUCAUAUUUUGACUUAUCUGUAACAACCACAUUCUAAGAAUCCCGUCCUUUCACAAAGUCAUGGGUGGCCUUUAGAUACUACUUUUUCAAUAGUAAUCUAAGGCAUCCAUCAAGCACUUGGCAGAAACCUUGAUGAAGCUAGGGAGAAAAUAGAAGUUUUAAACAAUUCACUGAUAUUGCACAGAAUUCAACUUCUGUGCAAGAUGUUCUCAAUAUACAUUUGCAGACUACUC